GACACUAUGGCCGAGUGGUUAAGGCGACAGAUUCGAAUGACGUAGCCCUUGGGUUACGAACUUGAACAUCUGUUUCGGUCUCCGAGCGCAGGUUCAAAUCCUGCUGGUGUCG